GGGGCAGUCUGUAUUCGGAGAUCUGGUUAUAGGUUGGAUCAGGGGCAGUCUGUGUUCUGUGAUAUGGUUAUAGGUUGGAUCGGGGCAGUCUGUAUUCAGAGAUCUGGUUAUUGGUUGGAUCGGGGCAGUCUGUGUUCGGUGAUAUGGUUAUUGGUUGGAUCAGGGGCAGUCUGUAUUCGGAGAUCUGGUUAUUGGUUGGAUCAGGGGCAGUCUGUAUUCGGAGAUCUGGUUAUUGGUUGGAUCAGGGGCAGUCUGUAUUCUGAGAUCUGGUUAUAGGUUGGAUCAGGGGCAGUCUGUAUUCGGAGAUCUGGUUAUUGGUUGGAUCAGGGGCAGUCUGUAUUCGGAGAUCUGGUUAUUGGUUGGAUCAGGGGCAGUCU